rnacentral:rRNA from 1 species
ACGAACGCUGGCGGCGUGCCUAAUACAUGCAAGUCGAGCGAGCUUGCCUAUAGAAAUUCUUCGGAAUGGACAUAGAUACAAGCUAGCGGCGGAUGGGUGAGUAACGCGUGGGUAACCUGCCCUUAAGUCUGGGAUACCAUUUGGAAACAGAUGCUAAUACCGGAUAAAAGCUACUUUCGCAUGAAAGAAGUUUAAAAGGCGGCGUAAGCUGUCGCUAAAGGAUGGACCUGCGAUGCAUUAGCUAGUUGGUAAGGUAACGGCUUACCAAGGCGAUGAUGCAUAGCCGAGUUGAGAGACUGAUCGGCCACAUUGGGACUGAGACACGGCCCAAACUCCUACGGGAGGCAGCAGUAGGGAAUCUUCCACAAUGGACGAAAGUCUGAUGGAGCAACGCCGCGUGAGUGAAGAAGGUUUUCGGAUCGUAAAGCUCUGUUGUUGGUGAAGAAGGAUAGAGGUAGUAACUGGCCUUUAUUUGACGGUAAUCAACCAGAAAGUCACGGCUAACUACGUGCCAGCAGCCGC